GAGCGGCGAACGGGUGAGUAACACGUGGGUGAUCUGCCUCGCACUUCGGGAUAAGCCUGGGAAACUGGGUCUAAUACCGGAUAUGACCAUUGAUCGCAUGGUUGGUGGUGGAAAGAUUUAUCGGUGCGAGAUGGGCCCGCGGCCUAUCAGCUUGUUGGUGGGGUAAUGGCCUACCAAGGCGACGACGGGUAGCCGGCCUGAGAGGGCGACCGGCCACACUGGGACUGAGACACGGCCCAGACUCCUACGGGAGGCAGCAGUGGGGAAUAUUGCACAAUGGGCGAAAGCCUGAUGCAGCGACGCCGCGUGAGGGAUGACGGCCUUCGGGUUGUAAACCUCUUUCGACAGGGACGAAGCGCAAGUGACGGUACCUGUAGAAGAAGCACCGGCCAACUACGUGCCAGCAGCCGCGGUAAUACGUAGGGUGCGAGCGUUGUCCGGAAUUACUG
rnacentral:rRNA from 1 species